AUACACACUCACAGCUCACAGCAAAUCGGCUUCUGAUUUCUAUAGUUUUGCCUGAUGUUUAUUGUAAUUAUUGUGUGUCACGUGACUGUUGAGGUGAAGCCCCGCCCUGUCCGUGGUUCUGGGCGGAAACGCGGCAUUGGACCGGGAUUAAAUAAAUCAUCACCCGAUUAUUAUAAUAAAAAAAAAACAACUGGAGCAUUUCGGCAUCACGGAUGAUUAGAUGUUCAUCUCCAUCACAUCACAUCACCUCAAGAUCUUCAGAGAGACUGCGAGAACAUCUUCAUAUCUGUUAGCUCUCUCUCUCUCUCUCUCUCUCUCUCUCUCUCUCUCUCUCUCUCUCUCUCUCUCUUCCCUAUCGAGAUGGUUUCUCCCACUUUGAAGGCCCUGGUGGACACCGUGUGGGCAGUGUGGAGCAUCGGAGCCUCCAUCUAUGACUACAUCAACACUAGCGCCAUGGAGGAGCGAAUACACUCCCUGGAGAGCGCCAUCACGCUGCAUGAGCGUGUUAUUGGUUUGCUGACCGUUGCGUUAGUGGCGCUGGUCACUUACAUACUGCUGAGGAAACACUAGAGAAACCUGAAGCUCAGGAGAAGUUUAUAACGCACAUCACGUGUGAAAGACCAUGAAGGGUUUUCUUUUCUGGUCUGGUUUCACGACGGUCACAGACACAGAGGGAGGAUUUGAUGUUACUGCAAUGUUUACGGGAUAAAAACUAUCUAGUGGGCGGAGCCAUAUACAAAUAUUUAUAACUCGUGCGUAUUGUUUAUUUUUGUUUGUUGUAAACACGACUUUUAACGUGGAUCAUGUGAUCAUUUUACCUACACACAGAGCUUUCUCUUCUCCUGCUUCCAUCACCAGUGCUUCAGAAAGGUUUCUGAGUUCUCCUCAUGGUGUCUCCACAGUCACUCUUCAGCUCGUGUAGUUGAUAAGAGCUCAUUUUUAUAACAGUGGAUGUUUGAGUAGGAAUCAUCAUCAUCUCCUGAGCUCUGUAUCUCCACUUCUUCUGGGCCUCUGUGUAUUAAUGAGAGCUUCAGACUCUCAGGAACAUUUUCUCAUCUAUAACUUCAACUGGUUCCUGAACUGAACUGGAUGAAAGACGUAACAAAGUGUCCUUAAUGUUUAUUAAUGUUUAUUACUCUACUGUUUAUCACUACGUUGGAGUGUGAAGUUUAUUUAUUCUCAUUAACUCUUUAUGUGGGUUCAUGUGUUUUACACUUUUUGUAAUGUAAAUGUAAUUUCUAAAGCAUUAGAAUGGUGGAAGGUCUCAUCAGGUCGUAGAUGAUCACCUGAUACCAGGAUCACUUCCAGCACUGACGAUUUUAAGCUGCUAUUGAUGUUUGCAGAGAGAAACUGAUGAAUGGAUCAAAAUAAUGCUUCAUUUUCGUUAUGCAUUUUAUAUACGGCUCGUUACAUCUACAGUUCUGCUGCUCCGAACUCAUUUAAUAAUAAAUUUAAUAAAUAAUAAAAGUUAUAAACAGUGAA